CUGACACCCUAGAAAUGAGGUCCUCUGCUUAUCCACUACAACAUGUAUGGCAGUGAAAACUUCCGCUAUAUUGCCCCACAAUGUACCUCAAACGUGACCUGGAAUACUCUAAUUCUAGAGGUGGGAGGAUCAUUCAGUCUCCAUAAGCCAUUCAAUCCUUUACAGCU
ensembl:misc_RNA